UACGUAGGGGCCUAGCGUUGUCCGGAAUUAUUGGGCGUAAAGAGCUCGUAGGUGGCCUGUCGCGUCGGACUGUGGAAAACUCGGGGCUCCAACUCCGAGCUUGCAGUCGAUACGGGCAGGCUAGAGUUCGGCAGGGGAGACUGGAAUUCCUGGUGUAGCGGUGAAAUGCGCAGAUAUCAGGAGGAACACCGGUGGCGAAGGCGGGUCUCUGGGCCGAUACUGACGCUGAGGAGCGAAAGCGUGGGGAGCAAACGGG
rnacentral:rRNA from 1 species